rnacentral:rRNA from 1 species
GGUUCGAUCCUGGCUCAGAUUGAACGCUGGCGGGAUGCUUUUACAUGCAAGUCGAACGGCAGCACGGUACUCCCGGUCUGGUGGCGAGUGGCGAACGGGUGAGUAAUGUAUCGGAACGUGCCUAGUAGCGGUGAUGAAAGCGUAGCUACUACCGCAGGCUACUGCCCUUCGGGGGAAAGCGGGGGCCCUCGGGGCUCGCAUCAUUAGAGCGGCCGAUAUCGGAUUAGCUAGUUGGUGGGGUAACGCCCACCAAGGCGACGAUCCUAGCUGGUUUGAGAGGACGACCAGCCACACUGGGACUGAGACAGGCCCAGACUCCUACGGAGGCAGCAGUGGGGAAUUUUAAUGUGGGGAAACCCUGAUCCAGCCAUCCCGCGUGUGUGCGAUGAAGGCCUGUAAAGCACUUUUGGCAGGAAAGAAACAACGGGAUAAUACCUCCCGUGCAACUGACGGUACCUGCAGAAUAAGCACCUUCGCUAACCAGCCAGCAGCCGCGGUAAUACGUAGGUGCAAGCGUUAAUCGGAAUUACUGGGCGUAGCGUGCGCAGGCGGUUCGGAAAGAAAGAUAAAUCCCAGAGUUUAACUUUGAACUGCAUUUUAACUACCGAGCUAGGAGUGUGUCAGAGGGAGGUGGAAUUGCGGUAGCAGUGAAAUGCGUAGAUAUGGAGGAACACCGAUGGCGAAGGCAUUCUUGAUAACACUGACGCUCAUGCACGAAAGCGUGGGGAGCAAACAGGAUUAGAUACACCCUGUAGUCCACGCCCUAAACGAUGUCAACUAUUGCUAGCUCUUCUUCGGGCCUUGCAGUAGCGCAGCUAACGCGUGAAGUUGACCGCCUGGGGAGUACGGUCGCAAGAUUAAAAACUCAAAGAAUUGACGGGACCCGCACAAGCGGUGGAUGUGGAUUAAUUCGAUGCAACGCGAAACCUACCUACCCUUGACAUGUCUGGAAUCCCGAAGAGAUUUGGGAGUGCUCGCAAGAGAACCGGAACACAGGUGCCGCAUGGCUGUCGUCAGCUCGUGUCGUGAGAUGUUGGGUUAAGUCCCGCAACGAGCGCAACCUGCACAAGAAGCUACGAAAGGGCACCUAAUGAGACUGCCGGUGACAAACCGGAGGAAUGGGGUGAUGACGUCAAGUCCUCAUGGCCCUUAUGGGUAGGGCUUCACGUCAUACAAUGGUCGGGACAGAGGGUCGCCAACCCGGGCGAGGGGGACGCAAUCCCAGAAACCCGAUCGUAGUCCGGAUCGCAGUCUGCAACUCGACUGCGUGUAGUCGGAAUCGCUAGUAACGGCAGGAUCAGCAUGUCGCGGUGAAUACGUUCCCGGUCUUGUACACACCGCCCGUCACACCAUGGGAGGCUUUACCAGUAGCAGUUAGCCUAACCGUAAGGAGGGCGAUUACCACGGUAGGAUUCAUGACUGCGAAGUCAACAAGGUAG